UGGGGAAUAUUGGACAAUGGGGGCAACCCUGAUCCAGCAAUACCGCGUGUGUGAAGAAGGCCUGAGGGUUGUAAAGCACUUUCAAUUGGGAGGAAAACAGGCGAAAUUAAUAUCUCGUCUCUUGACAUUACCUUUAGAAGAAGCACCGGCUAACUCCGUGCCAGCAGCCGCGGUAAUACGGAGGGUGCAAGCGUUAAUCGGAAUUACUGGGCGUAAAGCGUUCGUAGGCGGCUGUUUAAGUUAGAUGUGAAAGCCCCGGGCUUAACUUGGGAACUGCAUUUAAAACUGGACAGCUAGAGUUUAGGAGAGGGAAGUGGAAUUUCAGGUGUAGCAGUGAAAUGCGUAGAGAUCUGAAGGAACACCAGUGGCGAAGGCGACUUCCUGGACUAAAACUGACGCUGAGGAACGAAAGCGUGGGUAGCAAACG
rnacentral:rRNA from 1 species